rnacentral:rRNA from 1 species
AUUGAACGCUGGCGGCAGGCCUAACACAUGCAAGUCGAACGGUAGCACAGAGAGCUUGCUCUCGGGUGACGAGUGGCGGACGGGUGAGUAAUGUCUGGGAAACUGCCUGAUGGAGGGGGAUAACUACUGGAAACGGUAGCUAAUACCGCAUAAUGUCGCAAGACCAAAGGGGGGGACCUUCGGGCCUCUUGCCAUCGGAUGUGCCCAGAUGGGAUUAGCUUGUUGGUGAGGUAAAAGCUCACCAAGGCGACGAUCCCUAGCUGGUCUGAGAGGAUGACCAGCCACACUGGAACUGAGACACGGUCCAGACUCCUAAGGGAGGCAGCAGUGGGGAAUAUUGCACAAUGGGCGCAAGCCUGAUGCAGCCAUGCCGCGUGUGUGAAGAAGGCCUUCGGGUUGUAAAGCACUUUCAGCGGGGAGGAAGGCGGUGAGUUUAAUAGGCUCACCGAUUGACGUUACCCGCAGAAGAAGCAUCGGCUAACUCCGUGCCAGCCGCCGCGGUAA